UCGUUUUUUUGGGUAGAAAUGAGACUGAGUUAAUGCGCAGCCUGAAAAGACGAUUUACGAGUGCAGGACGCUUCAGUUUUACAUUGAAAAAUAGUAAUUCGAAUGCAAAAGUAACGUUUUGGAAAUACAAUUCAGUUCGAAUAUCUUCUUCCACAAGCUCCUCCUCCUCGUCAUUCGAGGAAAAAGCUUUUAUAAAGUAACUCAAAGCUUUGGGAACGGUUAGGGGAGGAUCCUUCAUCCAUCUCACCUUCUUAUAUACAUGCAGAGUAGUAGGGUUGCAGCGUUUUAUCAAAAAAUAGAUUGAUCGGAGCUGUCUCCUUCAGGAUUCUAUGUAAGAGCUUGCGUCUUCACUUUCAGCUUGAUCUAUCGAUUGAGCAGUUGUGCCCAAAUUCUAGAUGAUGACUACGAUUAAGAGGAAGAAAAAGAUGAACAGAUGGGCUGGUCUUAAUUUUGAAAAAUUUGAUGAGAAUAUAAUCUUCAACAUCCUCAAGAGACUAGAAGCUGAUACUCUGUACAAUUUAAGGGUGGUAAGCAAGCAAUGGUAUAAACUGAUAUUUGAUCCUCAUUUUGCUAAUUCCAACCUCUAUUAUGCGAAUCGUUGUAUCAUUCUCCAAACCCAACUUUAUGAUUCUUAUAGAUUGGGUUUUAUAGAGAUGAAAGAAGGAGGAGAGGUCAUUGUUAGGGAUUUGAAUAUGAGUCUUAAGGAGCCAGUACGAGCUUCCUGCAAUGGCCUUGUCUUGAUGAAAGACUUCUUAAAACGUGGAGAUUUAUCUGUAGGGAAUCUUCUCACUAGAAAAGGGAUAAAAAUACCUCCUUGUACUAGUAGUAAUUUUCUGCUAGGCAAUACUUUUGGGUUCACAUAUAUUCCUCAUACAAGAGAAUACAAGAUCGUGUGCAGAUGUUGGAUGUAAGUAUUCGUUCCUAUGUUUAUAUGAUACUCACUCUUGGUUCUAAUCAGUGGAGACAAGUCAGCGGGCCUCAGUUCCAUUUGCCAUAUGAUCAAGAACCCUUUUCUAUUAACAGUUUUGUUCAUUCACUAAUUACUGAUGAUUAUCAAGUCAAGUUGUUCUCCAUAGACACUGUUGAUGAAACAUCUCAUAAGACGGCACUCCCGGGUAUUAUGGAAACAAGAUAUCAUUAUCUAAUGGAUUUUGGAGGGGUUUUAUCUCUUGUGGGACAUUCAGGUAUUCAAGCUGAAGUAUGGGUUCUGGAGGAUUUUCCUAAGAAAGAAUGGAUUAGACGUCACUGCAUCAUCCUUCAAAAUGUACACUCUGGUGCACCAAUCGGUAGCCUUGGGAAUGGCAGGGCAAUAUUAUUUGUAAACAUGUUUGAGAACUUUGGUUCUUGUUAUGUAGCUGAUGUUGAACUGCAGAAAGCAAAGCAUAGAGUAAAGCAGUUACCAUUUGUCAAGGCUAACCGAAGUCAUUGUAUACCUCACUUAAACAGUCUCAUGUCAGGUAAUUCAUUGUAAAAUCCCAUGUUGUAAUUUCCUUUACUAUUAUACUUUACUUGCCAAGGUUUGGAAGGUUUUGCCGUAAGGAUUACCA